AGAGUUUGAUCCUGGCUCAGGAUGAACGCUAGCUACAGGCUUAACACAUGCAAGUCGAGGGGCAGCAUGGUCUUAGCUUGCUAAGACUGAUGGCGACCGGCGCACGGGUGAGUAACACGUAUCCAACCUGCCGUCUACUCUUGGACAGCCUUCUGAAAGGAAGAUUAAUACAAGAUGGCAUCAUGAGUCCGCAUGUUCACAUGAUUAAAGGUAUUCCGGUAGACGAUGGGGAUGCGUUCCAUUAGAUAGUAGGCGGGGUAACGGCCCACCUAGUCUUCGAUGGAUAGGGGUUCUGAGAGGAAGGUCCCCCACAUUGGAACUGAGACACGGUCCAAACUCCUACGGGAGGCAGCAGUGAGGAAUAUUGGUCAAUGGGCGAGAGCCUGAACCAGCCAAGUAGCGUGAAGGAUGACUGCCCUAUGGGUUGUAAACUUCUUUUAUAAAGGAAUAAAGUCGGGUAUGCAUACCCGUUUGCAUGUACUUUAUGAAUAAGGAUCGGCUAACUCCGUGCCAGCAGCCGCGGUAAUACGGAGGAUCCGAGCGUUAUCCGGAUUUAUUGGGUUUAAAGGGAGCGUAGAUGGAUGUUUAAGUCAGUUGUGAAAGUUUGCGGCUCAACCGUAAAAUUGCAGUUGAUACUGGAUAUCUUGAGUGCAGUUGAGGCAGGCGGAAUUCGUGGUGUAGCGGUGAAAUGCUUAGAUAUCACGAAGAACUCCGAUUGCGAAGGCAGCCUGCUAAGCUGCAACUGACAUUGAGGCUCGAAAGUGUGGGUAUCAAACAGGAUUAGAUACCCUGGUAGUCCACACGGUAAACGAUGAAUACUCGCUGUUUGCGAUAUACUGCAAGCGGCCAAGCGAAAGCGUUAAGUAUUCCACCUGGGGAGUACGCCGGCAACGGUGAAACUCAAAGGAAUUGACGGGGGCCCGCACAAGCGGAGGAACAUGUGGUUUAAUUCGAUGAUACGCGAGGAACCUUACCCGGGCUUAAAUUGCAGAUGAAUUACGGUGAAAGCCGUAAGCCGCAAGGCAUCUGUGAAGGUGCUGCAUGGUUGUCGUCAGCUCGUGCCGUGAGGUGUCGGCUUAAGUGCCAUAACGAGCGCAACCCUUGUUGUCAGUUACUAACAGGUUCCGCUGAGGACUCUGACAAGACUGCCAUCGUAAGAUGUGAGGAAGGUGGGGAUGACGUCAAAUCAGCACGGCCCUUACGUCCGGGGCUACACACGUGUUACAAUGGGGGGUACAGAGGGCCGCUACCACGCGAGUGGAUGCCAAUCCCCAAAACCUCUCUCAGUUCGGACUGGAGUCUGCAACCCGACUCCACGAAGCUGGAUUCGCUAGUAAUCGCGCAUCAGCCACGGCGCGGUGAAUACGUUCCCGGGCCUUGUACACACCGCCCGUCAAGCCAUGGGAGCCGGGGGUACCUGAAGUGCGUAACCGCGAGGAGCGCCCUAGGGUAAAACUGGUGACUGGGGCUAAGUCGUAACAAGGUAGCCGUACCGGAAGGUGCGGCUG
rnacentral:rRNA from 1 species